AACAUGUUAGUAAGUACACUGAAAGUGCCAGUAGCCCAGUGGUAACAUACCUUGCCAUUUUUUAUAUUGUUGUUUCACUUAACGCCAACAAUAAACGACGUCAAAUAUUUCUGUUAAAUUUGUUGAUGGCGUGCUAAAUUGGCAAGUCAGCGAAAACAUUGUUAAUUAAUUUUAAAGUCAAUGAAAGUUUGGUGUUUUUUUGGUCAGCUCAAAAGUUCAUGUUUCUUUUGGUAACUCGUGCAAAGUUGAGGUUUUUUUUGGCCGAAUUCUCUUAACAUAUCCCAUGUACAUUUGUUUUAACUUUUGUUUGUAUUAGUUAAAGUUUUUUUUUUGUGACUUUUAAGGUUUUAUAACUUCUUUACAUUUUUUUGUCGGCAUCCAUAUGUUUUUUUCAAGUAUUAGAAAGAGUCAAAUCGUUCUGAAUAGACACUCGCUCUGAUUUAGUCUAAUCUACAUAAGUAAACUCUCAAAUUUCUCUAUAAAACACAAAACCCAAAGAGCAUUUUUAACGGCUCUAACACAUGCUCUCAACAUUUAGGGCCUAAAUAGUAAAGCGGAUUUGGUAAUAAAAGCGGUGCAGAAUUAAAGUGCAGUACAGUGUAACUAAGGUUCGUCUGAAAUUAAAGUGCGGUACAGUACAACUACAAUUUUAAAUAAAAAGCGGUGCAAAAUAUUGUUUGAUUGGUAACAAUAUAUAUUUACGGUAUUGAAUAAUUAUUUAAUUAAUAAAAUAAUAUUAAUUAUUGAAUAUAUUAAUAUAUUUAAAUAAUUUAAAAUUAUAUUAAAAUAAUAUAAAAUUAUAUUAAAGAAGUUAAAUAAUAAAAUAGAUCAAAAUAAUUUUGAUCGAGAAAAACAUAUUUAGUGGUUUUUCUAAGUAAAUUAAAAUAAUGUGAUCUUUUUAAAAAAAUAUAUAUAUAUAUAUAUACAGCUUUUUAUUUUGCAAUUUAAAAUUAAACCGACUCACUAGUUUUAGCGAAUUUAUUUAAUCAUUUCUCGACUUAACUCGAAUACAGUUUUAACCUAAUUCGUAACUGGAUAAAUAAAUAAAUCACGAUUCGACCGACCAGUCCAUUUCAGUUUGCAAAACACUUGUCGGGGAUUGAGAUGUUUUUUUAGUACCAAUUCUUUUUGGAGAUUUUGAAUUUUUGGGUUUUUUCGAAUAUCCAUUUGGGUUUGGAUUCGUUUCGGGUAAAAUCUAUAACACGAAAUACCAUAACAACAAGAUCCAUUUAAUAUUUAUAUCGGGUUUGGAUCGGUUAAGAUUUAUUUUUAUUAGAUCGAGUUCAAUUUGGAUUUUCGGAUUCGGUUUAUUUGCACAUCCCUAGUUUAAGUAUCUAAAUUUUUUUAUUUUUGAUAUUUAGAUAUACAUUCAUUUUGGUUUGAUGAAGUGUUUUGGAAAUAAAAAUCUAUAAUCUGAUAUUUUUAUUCAGCUACAUAACUAUAUUAAUUAGAAUUAGUAUAAUUAUUUAUAUAACUGCAGUUGUUAUUAAAUGAUCAUAUAUUUAAAUAGUUGAAUUAAAUAAUAAGUAAAUAACUAGAAGUAAAAACGCACAUAUAAUUGGAGCUAAACAAUGCUAAGUGUGUUAUUGUAAAAUGUAGAACAAACAAAAAUAUAAUCUUUUAAUUUUAGUUGUGAUUGGUGUUUAAAAGCGUAUUUGAAAACAGUAUUUACAAAACCGCACUUUUGCAUGUUUCCAUUCACACACUUAAUAAAGAAAACAAUUAGAAAAAUCAAUAAAGAGAAAGAGAAAACAAGGUGAGAUAAGAGGUUGUCUCUCUCCAAACAGCUGCUCUAAAAAUUAUCAGAGAUUCUCAUGACAAGGGUUACACACCAAUUGGAUAUUUAUUUACUUUUGUUUAAAAAUUAUUUAUUAAAUUAUGAGUACACAUGGGUUGAGUUUGAUCCGAUAAUGAUGCUCUAAGUCACAUCCUUUUGGUUCUUCUGGAGUUCAGAGGCGCACCUGAAAAGAAGAUUUUCUUCUGGUUCUCAGAGGCGGAGCGUCGUGAGUCUCAAGCUUUUCCGAGUGGUCUCCGGCGGAGUUUCAGAGGCUUGGUGGUUAAUCAUUAUGGAGAAAGGAGUCUAUCAUCUUUACAUGCAGAAUGUGAAGCGUUGAUAUGGACGAUGGAGUGCAUGAAGAUCCUAUAAAUCUCAGAGGUGGUGUUUGCAACUGACUGCUCUCAAUUGGUGAAGAUGGUGUCUACACUGAAAGAAUGGUCGGCGUUCACUAUACACAUGGAGGAGUUUCUGCGAUGUAAGGAAUUAUUUCCUAACUUUACUAUCCAACAUAUCCCAAGGACCCAAAAUACUCUGGCGGACAAGCUGGCACGAGGUGCUAGGACUUCGCCAUGUGUUAUGGUUUAUGUUGAUUCAGUUUCCCCGAGGUGGCUCUCGGACCAGGAAUCUUCGUAGUUUCUUAGUCUUUUGUUGGAAAAAAAAAACACAUAAAAUAUUUAUAUUAAAAAUAUAAUAUGAUGACAGAACAGCUUAACAUUAACAGACUAUAUAACACAUAUAUAAAAUUAACAUAUCUUAGACUUUUUUUAUAUAAAAUAAUAUAUUAUGCAAAAUGAAUAAAAGUAAAAAAUAAUUGCUAAAAAGAAAUCCAGUUUUGAAGGGCGGGUAAACAUUUAACAUAAAUUAAAAUAAAAUAAAAAUUCAAAUAUGCUUUUAAUGCACAUAUUAAUUUUUUUAAUAACUAAAUGCAAAUAUAAUAAGAUAAAUAUAUAAUAAUAAACGACAAAUACAUGUGACGGUUUUAAGCAAUUGAUUAUUUACAACAUGUAAACUAUAAAUUAUUGUAUUUGAAAUAGUUAUAUAAACAUUUAAAUAUAUGAUUGAAAUUAAAAAUGUAUACCACUAAAGCACUAAUGAUGUAAAAUAAAUAUAUAUGCAAAUAAAACUGAAAAUAACAUCCGCGCGGAUCAAGAUAUAGUAUUAACUUAACUUAGCAAACAGUUAGACGUGAUGUCCAAUAUGGCUUAAGCAUUAUCCUUUUUUUCUUAUGUGUUCAACAUAUAUAUUUUAUAAAUAUAAUAUCAUAUAAUAUAUUUUUAGAAAAUUACAUAUAAAUAUGAGAAACUGUUAUGUAUCAUCUAUAUUUGUUUCUAUAUUUACAUUUAUAUUUUUGAUUUGUUACUUUUAUUUUGUGUGGGUAUAGAAUAUUAAAGAUUUGGCAAUAUAUGUUUUCUUUAAUUUUAUGCUUUUUUACUUUUCUGUUCAUAGUUUAAUUUUAUAUUUUCUCUAAACAAAAGAAAAUCUUAUGCAAUAUUUUAAAAAACUAAAGACAAAUAUGAGAGGUCAACUGUAUCUUCCAUAGUUUUAUUUUUUUAUUUUACUUUUAACAUUAUCCAUAAUCUCUUUCAUAAGAUCGAUGCUAGUAAUAAUCUAUUUGGAGGUAAAUCUCACAAUCGAAUUUACGCUUUUCUCUCUUUCAUUUCUCUUUCACUGAGCCAAGUAACCUAUGUAACUAACGACAAAGACCUCCUUAGCGUCAUAAAAGGCUGAACGCAGAUCCACAUCACGCUUGGCGGUCAAACCCUUGAUCUGCACCUCCAGCAUAGAGGCCCUCUGGAGGAAAGAUUUUCUCUUAUUCCUGACAACUCAGAGCUGAGCCUCAAGAACAGCCACCCAUUCUCCAAAUUUUCUACUUCAGACAACCGGAUUAUCUAAGCGCGCUCUUUCUCCUGAACAACUUUUACACUCCCUGUUAGGAUUCAGAGGCUUAAAGACAUCACUUUGUCUCAGCAUAAACCCACAACAAACCAAGAUAGAAGUUGCUGGAAGUCCAAAAUAGAGACUGCAUAAAACAGAGUUGUAGAGAGUA